AUCCAUUGACUGGCUAAGUAACUUACAACAAUCAAGUAACACGUUCAUAUAAAUUGUAAGCGUUGCAAAUGCUUACUGCUAAAUCAUGGCUAUGUUUGUAUACUUGUUACUUAAACUGGUGUAAUAUUCUUCAUUCUUCCACUGGGUAUAUUAGUACUUCGGCAAUUCUGUACUUCAGAACUUUGGCAAAUUCGGAACUUCAGCAAUUCAGCUAUUCGGAAGUAUCCAAAUUGCCCGGCGGAACGAAAUUAAUGGCACAUGUCUACUUGACACAGAAUGAGUGCUCAAAAGAGAGAGACUUUUUUUUUUUAAAUCAACAUUCCCACUGCUACCUAUUGUCUCAAAUCCCCACGAUCUCAUUAAGGUUUAAGCAUGCGUGGGGGUUGGCAUCAGGCUAUCCUAACUAUAAGAUAAGGCCAGGGACUAAUGAAAGUAUUUAGAAAAUUGGGCAGACUAGAUGGGUCGAAUGGUUCUUAUCUGCCGUCACAUUCUAUGUUAAGCUCACAGGCUAUCUAGCUAAGCAUUUUGUAUAAAAGAGCGUCAAGGACUAGUUAUCAGCUUACAAGCAGGGCUCUCUCUACCUCUUGUAUUUGUCUGUGUAUAUUGUACGUUCUCCACUAAUUGUACAGCGCUGCGGAAUCUGUUGGCACUUUAUAAAUACCAGUAAAAAAAUAAAUUUGACCGCUAUGGUCACAAAUGCACCCUACUUCAAGAUUGUGCGUGGCAUAGUUGUGGUGGUUAAGGGUUAAAGUUCACGAUUUGACUGCACUAGACCGGAAAUAAUGAUAAAAUCCCACUUAACACCACCCACACUUAACCAUAAUAUAAGUAUUACUAUUUUAAUGCUGCCACCACCAAGACAAUUUAUAAAUGGGGUGGCUUGGUCCCCCAGGUAAGUCCACAGCGUGUUUCACCCACAAUGGGCUUUUUCAAGUGGAUUACCACUUGAAAAAUCCCAUUG